rnacentral:rRNA from 1 species
AUUGAACGCUGGCGGCAGGCCUAACACAUGCAAGUCGAGCGAGCGGCGGACGGGUGAGUAAUGUAUGGGACUCUGCCUUAUGGCGGGGGAUAACUCCUGGAAACGGUAGCUAAUACCGCAUACCAUCAGAUGAACCCUUGUGGGAUUAGCUAGUAGGUAGGGUAACGGGUUACCUAGGCGACGAUCCCUAGCUGGUCUGAGAGGAUGAUCAGCCACACUGGGACUGAGACACGGCCCAGACUCCUACGGGAGGCAGCAGUGGGGAAUAUUGCACAAUGGGCGCAAGCCUGACGGAGCCACGCCGCGUGAAUGAUGAAGGCCUUCGGGUCGUAAAGCACUGUUAGUAGGGAGGCGUUACCGACAGAGAAAGCACCGGCUAACUCCGUGCCAGCAGCCGCGGUAAUAC